GAUGAACGCUGGCGGCGUGCCUAAUACAUGCAAGUCGAGCGAACGGACGAGAAGCUUGCUUCUCUGAUGUUAGCGGCGGACGGGUGAGUAACACGUGGAUAACCUACCUAUAAGACUGGGAUAACUUCGGGAAACCGGAGCUAAUACCGGAUAAUAUUUUGAACCGCAUGGUUCAAAAGUGAAAGACGGUCUUGCUGUCACUUAUAGAUGGAUCCGCGCUGCAUUAGCUAGUUGGUAAGGUAACGGCUUACCAAGGCAACGAUGCAUAGCCGACCUGAGAGGGUGAUCAGCCACACUGGAACUGAGACACGGUCCAGAGUCCGAGGGAAGGCAGAGGUAGGGAAUCUUCGGAAAUGGGGGAAAGCCUGACGAAGCAACGCCGCGUGAGUGAUGAAGGGCUUCGGAUCGUAAAACGCUGUUAUUAGGGAAGAACAUAUGUGUAGUAACUGUGCACAUCUUGACGGUACCUAAUCAGAAAGCCACGGCUAACUACGUG
rnacentral:rRNA from 1 species